GAAGUGAUGCUUCGUAAAUAAUUUUCUGGAAGAAAUUCAUAUCCUGUAAAGGAUAAAAAAAGGCGACUCAACGUAAGUCGCCUUUUUUGUGCCC
rfam:Escherichia coli ISC11, WGS project CBWP01000000 data, contig: c25